GCUCUGGCCAUUAGACCAGACUGACUUCCUAGGUUUUACACAUGAUUCCCAAGCAAAAUGGCCCCAUGGACAAGUCAUUUUGUGGCUGCUGAGCCUACAACCUAAGGGUUGCCCUCUCCCCUGGCUGGUCCGCCUCUGGUUCUCUUCAGAGUCGGUGGCUCCACCUGGCCAGUCGUGGAUCUCUACUGACAUCCUUGUUAGAGCACUGUGUUUCAAAAGUCUAGAUUCAGAUUGUGAUACCUUUUCUUCAGGCCUCGUCUCCAUUUUGGUGUCAUGAAAAGCCUUGAGGAAAACAAUAGCCACCCUACUGGCCACUGCGCCCAGCCAUCUUGCACCCUUCUUUACAGAGAAAUUGUGACUAAAUCUAAGGACCUUAGUCUACAAAUAUAACAACUUAUCAAGUGAAGGUUUUAUCACUUGUUCACAAAAUCUUUUAUACUCUUUCC
rnacentral:lncRNA from 1 species